rnacentral:tRNA from 1 species
GCUGAUGUAGCCAAGUGGAUCAAGGUAAUGGAUUGUGAAUUCACCAUGCGCGGGUUAAAUCUUCGUCGUUCGUC